rnacentral:tRNA from 1 species
GCGUCGGAUGAGCAACGGUAGCUCCACGCGCCGUAAACGCGUCGCCUUCGGGCUAUGGGGGUUCAAGUCCCUCCCGACGCA